rnacentral:rRNA from 1 species
GAUGAACGCUAGCGGCAGGCCUAAUACAUGCAAGUCGAACGGUAAGGCCCUUUCGGGGUACACGAGUGGCGGACGGGUGCGUAACGCGUAUGCAACAUACCUUCAAGCGGGGGAUAUGCCAGGGAAACUUGGUGCAACACCCCAUAGCAUUUCGGGACCGCAUGGUCUUGGGAUUAAAUAUUUAUAGCUUGGAGAUUGGCAUGCGUGACAUUAGCUAGUUGGCGGGUAACGGCCCACCAAGGCGACGAUGUCUAGCUGGUCUGAGAGGAUGAUCAGCCACACUGGGACUGAGACACGGCCCAGACUCCUACGGGAGGCAGCAGUAGGGAAUAUUGGACAAUGGGGGGAACCCUGAUCCAGCCAUGCCGCGUGAGGGAAGAAGGUCCUCUGGAUUGUAAACCUCUUUUGGCGGGGGACAAACCUGCACUAUACGUGCAGCUGAGGGUACCCGCAGAAUAAGCACCGGCUAACUCCGUGCCAGCAGCCGCGGUAAU